rnacentral:rRNA from 1 species
GACGAACGCUGGCGGCGUGCUUAACACAUGCAAGUCGAGCGGUAAGGCCCUUUCGGGGGUACACGAGCGGCGAACGGGUGAGUAACACGUGGGUGACCUGCCCUCAGCUCUGGGAUAAGCCUGGGAAACCGGGUCUAAUACCGGAUAUGACUCCAUGACGCAUGUUGUGGGGUGGAAAAGCCUUGUGCGGCUGAGGAUGGGCCCGCGGCCUAUCAGCUUGUUGGUGGGGUGAUGGCCUACCAAGGCGACGACGGGUAGCCGGCCUGAGAGGGCGACCGGCCACACUGGGACUGAGACACGGCCCAGACUCCUACGGGAGGCAGCAGUGGGGAAUCUUGCGCAAUGGGCGAAAGCCUGACGCAGCGACGCCGCGUGAGGGAUGACGGCCUGU